AUUGAACGCUGGCGGAACGCUUUACACAUGCAAGUCGAACGGUAACGUGGGGAGGAGCUUGCUCCACCCUGACGACGAGUGGCGAACGGGUGAGUAAUACAUCGGAACGUGUCCGCUCGUGGGGGACAACCGGCCGAAAGGUUGGCUAAUACCGCAUGAGUUCUACGGAAGAAAGAGGGGGACCCGCAAGGGCCUCUCGCGAGCGGAGCGGCCGAUGACUGAUUAGCCGGUUGGUGAGGUAACGGCUCACCAAAGCAACGAUCAGUAGCUGGUCUGAGAGGACGACCAGCCACACUGGGACUGAGACACGGCCCAGACUCCUACGGGAGGCAGCAGUGGGGAAUUUUGGACAAUGGGCGCAAGCCUGAUCCAGCUAUUCCGCGUGUGGGAUGAAGGCCCUCGGGUUGUAAACCACUUUUGUAGAGAACGAAAAGACACCUUCGAAUAAAGGGUGUUGCUGACGGUACUCUAAGAAUAAGCACCGGCUAACUACGUGCCAGCAGCCGCGGUAAUACGUAGGGUGCGAGCGUUAAUCGGAAUUACUGGGCGUAAAGGGUGCGCAGGCGGUUGAGUAAGACAGAUGUGAAAUCCCCGAGCUUAACUCGGGAAUGGCAUAUGUGACUGCUCGACUAGAGUGUGUCAGAGGGAGGUGGAAUUCCACGUGUAGCAGUGAAAUGCGUAGAUAUGUGGAAGAACACCGAUGGCGAAGGCAGCCUCCUGGGACAUAACUGACGCUCAGGCACGAAAGCGUGGGGAGCAAACAGGAUUAGAUACCCUGGUAGUCCACGCCCUAAACGAUGUUAACUAGUUGUUGGGAAGUAAUAUUCUCAGUAACGCAGCCAACGCGAGAAGUUAACCGCCUGGGAAGUACGGUCGCAAGACUAAAACUCAAAGGAAUUGACGGGGACCCGCACAAGCGGUGGAUGAUGUGGAUUAAUUCGAUGCAACGCGAAAAACCUUACCUACCCUUGACAUGUCAGGAAGCUCUUGUAAUGAGAGUGUGCCCGCAAGGGAGCCUGAACACAGGUGCUGCAUGGCUGUCGUCAGCUCGUGUCGUGAGAUGUUGGGUUAAGUCCCGCAACGAGCGCAACCCUUGUCACUAGUUGCUACGAAAGGGCACUCUAGUGAGACUGCCGGUGACAAACCGGAGGAAGGUGGGGAUGACGUCAAGUCCUCAUGGCCCUUAUGGGUAGGGCUUCACACGUCAUACAAUGGUCGGAACAGAGGGCAGCGAAGCCGUGAGGCGGAGCCAAUCCCAGAAAACCGAUCGUAGUCCGGAUUGCAGUCUGCAACUCGACUGCAUGAAGUCGGAAUCGCUAGUAAUCGCGGAUCAGCAUGCCGCGGUGAAUACGUUCCCGGGUCUUGUACACACCGCCCGUCAAACAAUGGGAGUGGUGUUUACCAGAAGUCGUUAGCCUAACCGCAAGGAGGGCGGCGACCACGGUGAGCACCGUGACUAAUGUUAAGUCGUAACAAGGUAGCCGUACCGGAAGGUGCGGCUGGAUCACCUCCUUUCAAGUAAAGCAGUAUGAGCUCAGAAGUUCUGAGUGUCCGCUCUUAUCGGAAGUCGAUAAAGAUUUGAAGACAAGCCCGAGACCGUGGGUCUUUAGCUCAGCUGGUUAGAGCACCGUCUUGAUAAGGCGGGGGUCGAUGGUUCGAGUCCAUCAAGACCCACCAUGGCACUUCUUGACGGGGGUAUAGCUCAGCUGGGAGAGCACCUGCUUUGCAAGCAGGGGGUCAACGGUUCGAUCCCGUUUACCUCCACCACGAGAUAUACGGGCAAGUCAAAAAAACAAGAUGAAAGAGCUUUACGGAGCUUUUUGAUAUUGUCUUUUGACAAUGUGUUCUUUAACAAUUCGGAAUAAUCAAUCUAACGUUUAAGCUGAUUUGAUGAGAGUCAGCGAGAACGGGUAGUGAUAAGAAAUCUUUACAAAGAGAGAAACUUUGAGAUUUCUCAAGCAAAGACAUACAAGCAUAUGGCAUGAGAACGAGAGUUGCUUGUGACCCGGCCGGGCAAUAGGCGGCAGGGUUAUAGGAUCAAGUGACUAAGUGCAUGUGGCGGAUGCCUUGGCGAUCACAGGCGAAGAAAGACGCGGCAGCCUGCGAAAAGCUGCGGGGAGCUGGCAAACGAGCUUUGAUCCGCAGAUAUCUGAAUGGGGGAACCCACACCGCAAGGUGUAUCCGUAGCUGAAUACAUAGGUUACGGAGGCGAACGAGGAGAACUGAAACAUCUAAGUAUCCUCAGGAAAAGAAAUCAACCGAGAUUCCGGCAGUAGCGGCGAGCGAACCCGGAGGAGCCUAGCUUUUGAUAGUACGAACUUUAGCCGAAAGGUCCUGGAAAGGCCUGCUAUAGUGGGUGAUAGCCCCGUAGGCGAAAGAGUUGGUACGGUACUAAGGAAGCGAGAAGUAGAGCGGGACACGUGGAAUCCUGUUCGAAGACGGGGGGACCAUCCUCCAAGGCUAAAUACUCGUGAUCGACCGAUAGUGAACC
rnacentral:misc_RNA from 1 species